AUGCCGGUGUCGCCGGUGUCGGUCCCCACGCGGGGAGGCAAACGACUCUGGACCGGCAGGGUCCCACUAACUACACGUGGUUCUGUUCAUGCUGGAAUGUUGCAGGGCAGCUCCGCCGCCGCACCAGCCACAGGCCCAUUGUCACAAAACGUGCAACAGCUCCCAAAGCCGCCGCAGCUGCAGGAAACGGAACCCCAGAAAUGUCACAGGGCACUGUCCCCUCCCGCCCCGCCUCGGGAGCGGCCAAGGGCAGGCACAGAGCCACGUGAGAGCAAACGCAGGCACCGAGCAUCCCAGAUCACCUGGCAGCUUGUUAGGCUGCUUCACGCUGUCUCAGGGCUGCCACGUACCGUCCAGCUCCACAAGGACGCACCUGGGCUCCAGCGCCCUGGGGUUCCCGGGUCUGAAGGUCGAUGGGCCUGUGUUCUAAAGCCAAGGACAAACACACAGAUGGCAGUGUCGACGUGGGCCACACAGGCAAGCACGGGCCUCAGCUCUGCUCCCGGAGAACGUCACCGAGACAAACCACGGCUUCGGGGCCACUGGAAAAGGGAUACCCUACCACACUCUGACGCCUGCAGACGUGUGACAGCUCCGUCAGAGGUCUUGGUGACAACAGGAAAGCCGGAGCCGUGGUUUCACGGGCAAUGCAUCUUCUCUGUUUCCAGUGGCGCCUCUUAGAACACGCGACCCUGCGUCCCACGGAACGCGCUUCAAUGGGAACGUCUAAGAGGAAGGCGGUGAGCACCCACGGGGCAAUGAACCAAGCCCGUGCCGUCUAUGGCUUAAAGCCAAACAAGAGCCAAGUGGCCAGGGCUUUAUUGAAGAUGCGGAGAGAAUACUGCCAACCUGCACACACGGGGACUCUAUGCUGAGACACCAAGCAGGACACGGAAAAUCUCCCCUCGUUUAAGCACGUGAAAAGACAUGGAGGGGGCAGGCAUUGCGGCGCACAGGGUUAAGCCACCACUUGGGGCCCCUAUCCAAUCCCAGUUCCUGCUAAUGCGCGAGGGAAAGCAACAGAAGAUGGCCCCAGGAUUUGGGUUUCUGCUAUGCACGUGGAAGACCCAGAUGGAGUUCCUAGCUCCUGGCUAUGUCCUGGCUCAGCCACGGCCGUU
rnacentral:lncRNA from 1 species